CGAUUUCUUCCCCAUUUCUUAUUGUCUUCUUCUUUAUCCUCCAUCAAAUUUGGUAUUAGAGUUAAACUUGGAUAAUAUUUCUUCAUCCAUUCCAUACAUACAACUAGUAUAUCCAUCACCUGCUAAUUCAACCCCCUUUUCCAGUUCACCAAUGCUACCAGAGAAACCACCACGUCCUUCCACAACUGCCAACCACCCGAAAUUCACUCAACACCUGGAACUUCCACCACCAACUACAACCCCCACCAAAUAAUUCCAGUAUACGCGACCACCCCACAAGCCAAACCUCCAACUCCAACACAGGCUAUAGCGUAACCUGCAACUUUUAUAUAAUCGACCUUUUUUGUCACAAUAACAACCUACUAUCAACAAAACAACCAAUCACCACUGCCUCCACCUCUCCAACCGACAUACAGUACAUCAGUACGCAUACUUCCCAAACCACACAAAUUGACAGCCGCUGCUCACAUCUCGCUCCAUUCGCCUCUUCCAAACUUGAUCCAAUCACCCAAGCUUCAUCUUCUCUACACAGCAUCAAUAAUCCGCCCAACGCACCCCACAUCUUCAUCCAAUCAACACCACAUGCUACACUCAAGUAAUCACAAUCCAUCUCCAAGCACUCGCCAUGACUAUCGCCGUCAAUCAUCCUUACAGUCGACGCAGUCAUCUUCGCAACCGUCAACACCGCAUCUCUCGUCUCGUAACUAUUGAGUAGGGCUGGACAAAUUGUGGGUAUUUGAUUAUCAAAUUGGGUCGUGCCUUGGUAUUUUGGCUUUGUAUUGUGAGUCUAAGUAUUUGAUUUUCAGUUUAGGCUCUGCCUUGAUUAGUUUUUGGGCCUAAUAAAAGUGUAGUUGGAGAGAGACAGAGAGAGAGAAAUUUUCUGACAUUAUUUGCACGUUGUUUCCUUUUUUCUUGCUGAUUGACACAGCCACUCGGAUGAUUCAAUUGCCGCUUUGCCACUGGAGUCAUGUCUAUCCUGAGAUUCAUGAUUAAGGUAUUGUUUGACUCUAUUAGGUCUCAUAAGGUGACGAUCUUGUUAUAUUGAAUAUGUACUAUUUUUGGCUUGUCAAUUUUUAAAAAAAAAAUUGUUAUGGCAUGAAUAUAUAAUGUUAGGAGACCACUCAUUAACAAAUGGAAGAAAACUUCUUCAAUUUUCAUUGCUUUGUAAUGAACUCUUAUCGUUACUUGAACUCACAGAAUAUUUACUUUCACGAGUGGACCAAUUGCCUUAUUUUUCCAUGCUCACAUCUUUUAACACACUUAGCAUGGCAUUGGUUUCAAAUAAGCUAUUAAGACAUCCUGAAUUUAAUAUACAAGUAGCAGUUGUUUCUCGCCUUGGUGAAAUAUUCCGCAUUACGGCACCUAAUCCCCCUUUCUGCAAUGAAAUAAUGCAAGAUAUUUUUCCCUUGAUUAUAUCAUUAUUCGCAUAUCUCAUGAGCACGCACAUCCAUCAAUUUGUAUGCUACGACAGUUUGAUACCAUGGCUAAUGCGAAAUAUUAGCUUAUCAUGUUGGGCCAAGAUUGUGAACUACGAUAAUUGACAUAUUCCAGCACUUUCUCGUAGCUCUAAAAAGAAAUCAUUUAGGGAAUGUCUUCACAUCCAUAGAGACUAUCAUGACCUUUAUAUUAGAAGAAAGUGACUAUAUUCCUCUAGAUUUGAUUUGAUUACCUUUCUUUUGGAUUGUGUUUUAAAAAAAAACACAAAGAUGUUUCCCCUAUUGUAUUUAAUGUAGUGGAAAAACUUUUCGAGAAGUGUGCUGACAAGAUCAAACCUUACUUGUCCCGAGCUAUAAAAUCUUUAGGAGUUUGUUUAGAUGAUUAUAGUGCAAUUAUUUCCUCCAUUUUCCCAGAAUUCGAAAGUUGUGAACAGUGUCUUAUGUCCCCUAUUUUGACCACAUUUAUAACCGAUACACUUAAAAUUGACAUAAUUGAGAAAGUACAUAAAGCAAUGCCAUCGAAGUCAAACAUUUCAUAUGUCCUAAACCUUGUGCCUACUGUGUUGCAUGACUUUCAUGUUGACUUUGUUUUAAUUCUUCCUCAGUUACAUGAGACUCCACGUGUCGCGACAUUGUUUUCUUAGGUCAUUACUUAAUUGCACACUCUUCCUAUUAACAUUAGGAUGUUGCCCAAUAAUUAUUGACAAGCUGUGCUAGCUCAUCAUUAUGUUGACAAUGUUCCUAAAUUUCAUGCUAAGUUAAAAGAUCGAAUAAUUUCCAAUCAUUAAAUUUUUGAAUUUACUUUCGAUGCAAAUAUAAAUUAGAGUCCUCUAUUGACGAGUACUAUACUUUAUUGUGAGUCUCUUUGAUUCGAUUUCCUAGAAAUAUGAAGAAAAAGUUUUUGGAUCACUCGUAUAAAGAUUUUCCAUUUGACUGGCCAUCCACUUAAAUGAAAGUUAUAUUUUCAAUGUAGAAGAAUUGUUUCCUAAUAAAGUCCUAUUCGAGCCUUUGAUGUUGCAAUCUUUUGUCUCUAUAGGCCAGUUUCCAAUGCUAGCUUCUUGUCCUCCUCAUCAUGCACAAUCAUGUGAGAAUUUUGAAGAUGAGGUGCAUGAGUGUUGAUUAUUUGGUGUCCAGUAUCAGUAUUUGAUUAGAAGGAUUAGAAAGAAAGAUCAUCCCCCUUGGUCAAAUCAUUUUCUUGGGAAUAAACUGUAUUUUUCAUUACUAUCAAUCAUUGAAUUUCGAUACUUUAUUCAUCAUAAAGAUUGUCCCCCGUGGCAUGACUUGAAGUAUUUUGGGUAUCAGAUUGACAGCAGUAUUUUGUGAUUUAUCUACUCUACAUAGCCGAGUUUUUCUCCCACUCCGAAAGAGUUGAUGAUGACAUCCAUUUUAUUUAUUUUCUAGUUGAACUUUUAUUUAUGUUUUGGAAUUUUGUUUAUGCAAUUGGGCUUGUACAAGGGGUUUGGCCCAAGCUUGUUCUUUUU
rnacentral:lncRNA from 1 species